GGAGAGGUGGUAGAGCGGUUUAUUGCGUCGGUCUUGAAAACCGAAGAGGCGAGAGUCUCCGUGGGUUCGAAUCCCACCCUCUCCG
rnacentral:tRNA from 1 species